rnacentral:lncRNA from 1 species
UUAACCAUAUUGGUUCUAAUUUCAAAAAGACAAAAAAAAAAGAACUAACAACCCCAUUCAAAGUUUUGGCCUUUUUAUGCCUUCUUAUUAAAUUUUUGUUAAAAGCAAUUCACCAAUUUCUUUAAAAUUUUUACCAUGAACUACGAGGUUUUGAUCCCUCAUUUUUAUGUUGGUACGUAGGCACAAGACCGAAAAUCUUUU